GGCAAUUACUUUUCAAAUGUCAAAAGCCGUCAUAUUUCUGUAGAUACUUGUCCUUUGGGAAAAUAUUGAAUAAUUUUGAUUACCAAUUAAUUAAUGGAUUGUAUAUCGUGAAACAUAGUGUAUUGAUGGUGAGCCGGUAGUUGCGGCGCCGGGAAAUCAGACUGGACUCAGACGAUACAAUUUAUUUCGGAACAAUUGAUGGUACAGAGUGACACAAGAAACCUCGCUGUAUAAAAUGGACGCAAGGAACUUAUGACGCUAUCAACAUAGAAUAGUCUUCCAUACGGCACCAAGACUGAACCUGUGAUACACCAGCGACGCUCAGACUUCAUCAGUUCAUCCCACUUCAUCCGUGGACUGCAGGCUUAGCUGAGGAACCCAGACAAUAACCGGAACGAACUUUAUGGAGCAUCACAAUUGUUCUAUAAGGACAUUAUUGUAAACUAGGGGUGGUCGAUGCCCCACGCGGCGCCCGCCUCCGCCAUGUCGGCUCCCCCCCGCCACCCGCACUUCUACACCGUCGAGGUCGGCGACACCCGCUUCACCAUCCUCAAGCGUUACCAGAACCUCAAGCCGAUUGGAUCCGGGGCACAGGGCAUUGUCUGCGCUGCAUACGACACGGUGACCCAACAGAAUGUCGCCAUCAAGAAACUGUCGCGGCCCUUCCAGAACGUCACGCACGCAAAACGCGCCUACCGCGAAUUCAAACUCAUGAAACUCGUCAACCAUAAAAAUAUAAUCGGUCUCCUGAACGCGUUCACCCCGCAGAGGAGCCUAGAGGAGUUCCAGGACGUGUACCUGGUGAUGGAGCUGAUGGACGCUAACCUCUGCCAGGUGAUCCAGAUGGACCUGGACCACGAGCGCAUGAGCUACCUACUGUACCAGAUGCUGUGCGGCAUCAAGCACUUGCAUCUUGCUGGGAUUAUACAUCGGGACUUGAAGCCCUCCAACAUAGUGGUGAAGAGCGACUGCACGCUCAAGAUCCUGGACUUCGGGCUGGCUCGCACCGCCGGGACCACCUUCAUGAUGACGCCCUAUGUCGUCACUAGAUACUAUCGCGCGCCUGAGGUAAUCCUGGGCAUGGGCUACACGGAGAACGUGGACAUCUGGUCGGUGGGCUGCAUCAUGGGCGAAAUGAUCCGCGGCGGCGUGCUCUUCCCCGGCACCGACCACAUCGACCAGUGGAACAAGAUCAUUGAGCAAUUGGGCACGCCAUCUGCGGCGUUCAUGGCGCGGCUGCAACCGACGGUGCGCAACUACGUGGAGAACCGCCCGCGCUACGCCGGUUACAGCUUCGAGCGGCUCUUCCCCGACAUAUUGUUCCCCUCCGACAGUAAUGAACAUAACCGACUCAAGGCGUCUCAAGCGCGCGACCUGCUGUCCCGCAUGCUGGUGAUCGACCCGGAGCGCCGCAUCUCCGUGGACGAGGCGCUGCUGCACCCCUACAUCAACGUGUGGUACGACGAGGGGGAGGUCAACGCGCCGGCACCAGCGUCAUACGACCACUCGGUGGACGAGCGCGAGCACACCGUGGACCAGUGGAAGCAGCUCAUCUACCAGGAGGUAGGAGGCUCUGACGUCAUCGACGACGACUAACACGUCCCCGACGACGUCUUACCACGUCGCGACGUCACACUUCACCAUUAUAAAAUACUAUCGCGUAAAUACUGUGCCGCUAGAACUUAAAAGUCAUAAUUCAGUAUCAAUCAAGUGGACUGUGUUUAGUGCAGUGUAUUAUAAUUGAAAAACUGAUAGAAAUUAUCUUUCUUCUAUAACAACAAUUUUAAUAACAAAUAAAAACUUUUCCAAAACAAAUUACCGACAAUAAUCGUUUAUAAGCGCCACCUGUGAGAAGAGUUCCGAACUAAGACAAACAACAUCGCAACGUCAAUGUGCUGUGCUUGGAAGUAUAUAUCGCCUAACAGAUGGCGUUAUUUGUAGAUGCAAUGAGAAGUUCUUCCACCGCGUUGGAUUACUGGUGGUGGAGUACGCGGCGCCGCCGCCCGCGCAGCCGCUGGCGCCGCCCCAAGACCACGCGCAACCGGCGCUCACCACAUAGGUAUCAGCCGAGUUGACCGCCGAAAUCUAAUGAUCUACGACUAUAGUGCUAUCACUGUAGAGCGCGACGCGACGCGCUUCAUACGGCUACUGCGCAGUAGCCAUUCGGCGGCCAUUUUACUGUGAACACGUUUCAAUCAAACAAACGAUGUACAUAAAUAUCGUGACUUUGUGCAAUACACCACGGAAUCAAUUCAAGUGCAAAGUAAAAAGUUAAUUUGACUCGUUCAUUUUCUUUGUGUACAGAGAAGAGAGUGAAUGUUUCAGAGACAUCAAUAAUAACGUAGAGUAAGGCAGUGUAACAGAGAAUAACCCGUAGCGUAGCUGAAGUACUCUGUUAAGUACUGGUUUGUUUGUAUCAUUUAAAGAACUGUUAUCUCGUCUAUUUCUCGUAGUAUCUUCCUGUUUCUUAUGAUACGUAGUGUAAGUGAUCGGUUGCAGUGACACUGGAUGGUGUUCGUAAGCUCAACAGGUCCAUUGAUCGCCCCCGCCCCCGCCCCUGCCCCCGCUCCCGCCUUGCCCACGAACGUUUCAUUUGCAUUAAGGAGUGCCUUUUGCGAUUGCUAAAAGUUGGUGAAUUCAGCUUGUGGACUGACUUUGAUAUGUUUGAAUAUUUUUGUAAUAAAAUACACGAAUGAAAUGACAAGGGUGAUUCCUCUUAUUAAUCAUGCAAUAUUUUUAUCUCGUUUUAUUUUAAUUUAUAUCAAUUUGUAAUUAAAUAGUAAUGUAAUGAAUAUUAAUAAUAGAAUGUUGAGCUUAAUAUGUGUUGUUGUAUUUUUGUUUUUAUUGUGCGAUUAUUUUAAUUUAUACAUUAUUUGUAAUGUUAAUUAUAUUAUUGACGGUGGCACAUUUCCAAUCUGACCUCGAUCUGUCAACCCGAUGAAUUUCCUAAUCGAAUAUAAACUUUGUUGUAAGUACAGUGCCAUUCACAACCUUAUUGCCAUAGGUACAUGUUGGGUGUUGGAUUUGCAAUCGUGAGUUUCUGCGUGAUCUUUGGAUGUAUCUCGAUAUAAUUUGUUUCUUAGCCAUACACAAUGUCAGAUAGUUACUUGGGAUUUUGUGAUGUUCAUAGUUUUUCGUAAGUAGACCCUAGUUACAUUGUUGAUAAUAUUGUAUUGACUGUAUGAGAGUAGAUUAAUAAGUAUAUUUCUACCUAAGUAGUCUUAUAGGUCACCUCACACGUUGCGAACGACUGAAACUAAAUACGUAAACAAACGAACGAGUUGAUAACCUUGGUAUGUUAAACGGAAAUCGGAACGGUUUUAUAUAAAAAAAAGUAAAUCUAAAAAUAAUUUUAAACCUCGUUUUUUUCCACUGAUGACGUCAGUUUUAAUAUUCUGCUUUCAAUAAACACAAUAGGUGCGUAUAAUUUUAUUAUACGACAGUUCAGUCAAUGGCUUAACGUGUGAGGGUGUCGUAGGAUAUCGUUUGAAACCUCACUAGGUGAUAUAAUAUAAAUUAAGGGUAAUACAGAACGAUAGUCGUAUCGGGUGGUUUCAGCAAAUAGCACAAUUUAUUAGCUAUAGUAUAAAGCUGGGCGGUGACACGUUUGUGAUGUAUCUGCAUAACCAAUGAAGCAAUAAUAACAUCUUUCCUUUCUAUCUUUCGACUUCCUUCCAGAGCGGGCAACCAACUCGUUUAGGCCCAAAAACAUAUCACGAUUGACUUAAAUUGAUCAAUAUUCGACGUUUUUUGGCCAACGGUGAUGUUUGGCCGCUCCUCUAUGUUGUCGCUUUACUUUUGUUCCAUGCCGUCUCAGGAUUAUCACGUAAUUUAAUGUCAAUUGUGUCACCUCUAAUGCAAAGGCAUCUAAAUUUUCAUAAGGUUGUAUGUAUAUCAAAAUCAAGAUAAUAACAAUUUUGGCUAAUGCAAUUUUAUGUUGAUAAGAAAAAGAAGUGUAAUAAAUCUUUGAAAGUAUACAAUAAUAAGUCUAUUUUAGAUCUAAGUAUAAAUCUGUAAAUAUAACAGUAAAUAAUAAAUUACUGAAAUGGAACGAAAGUGAAGAGAACAUACUUUGAAUCUUAUAGUCAUUCUGUUUAUCACUAUAGAAAAUAAAUGAUUCACAACUGUACGUCCAAAUUGUCCAUUUAUAUGUUAAAAUGUACCUAAUACAAAUUACAAUAAUGUAAUCUUUAGAAUGUAUUUUAGUACACUUGGUAACAAGGGUUAAGGUAGUCGCCUUGUUGAACGCAAGCCGCGCGGCUUCUAGCGAUAUGUUUGAGUUAACACUUCGAUGACUAUCUAAAAACAACUUAUUUUUACUGUACGCGUAAGUUAUUUCAUAUUUUAACUGAAUAAAAUCGAAAUGGUUAUUAUA
rnacentral:misc_RNA from 1 species